rnacentral:lncRNA from 1 species
AGCACUUUCUUUCGAGGUUGGAGUAGUUUUGGCGACAUCUGCACCUACUCUGACUCUGACCAUCGACUCUUAAAAAGGGAUCGCUGAGCGACCUCAGCCUUCCAAGACCUCUACUUGGGUAGGGUCUUCUAAGAAAGCCGAUGAUGAUGAGGCCCUUUCCGAUGAUAUUUUGGAGGAUCUAUUUUUUUAAGACUGGAAGGCAGUCUGAGAACUAUCAAAAACUUCAUUAUUCUGAUAGAGUUGGAGCAGAUAGACAAGAUAAGUAUUUUCAGUCUGAAGAAGCUGCCCUUGACCGUUGGCCACCAGGUAUAGCAUUUAUCC